rnacentral:lncRNA from 1 species
UUGGACACAGACAUGCACGGAGGGAAGACGAUGUGAAGAGUCACAGGGAGAAGAAGGCCAUGUAGCUGGAGUGAAUUACAAGCCAAGGAAGGCCAAGGAUUGCUGCAAACACCAAAAGCCAAAAGAGGCAAGGAAGGAUUCUCCCCCACAGCCUCCAGACCGCACCUGGCCCUGUGGACACCUGCGCCUCGAAAUUCUAGUCUUCAUAACUUUUCUGUUUGUGAGCUGAUGAUUUUAUUUUUUGAUGAAGAAGAUUGGUCCUGAGCUAAUAUCCAUUGCCAAUCUUCCUCUUUGUGCUUGAGGAAGAUUGUCCCUGAGGAGGAUUUUCAACAGAAAGAGCUUCAGUGAUGGUUCGAAGCUGCAGAAAUAAUGUCGGGAAUGCGUUAUUGGAUGCAAAUGUUAGAGAAAUGUGAGGAGCCUAAAUAAUUCUUCCUGUUUACUUUGCAUAACUGAGCCUGUACUCCUAUUAGAAAGAGAGAGAGGUUUUCCUAUAGUAUUUUCUGUAGGAAAAAAAGAAUGCACGGGUUUUAUAUUUUGUAGUGGGAGACUCAGGUUAAAAUACUAACUUAAGUGUUUG